rnacentral:rRNA from 1 species
CAGUCGCCACGGGAAUACGAAGGGGGCUAGCGCUGUUCGGAAUCACUGGGCGUAAAGCGCACGUAGGCGGAUACUUAAGUCAGGGGUGAAAUCCCGGGGCUCAACCUCGGAACUGCAUUUGAUACUGGGUAUCUUGAGUCCGGGAGAGGUUGGUGGAACUCCGAGUGUAGAGGUGAAACUCGUAGAUAUUCGGAAGAACACCAGUGGCGAAGGCGGCCAACUGGCACGGUACUGACGCUGAGGUGCGAAAGCGUGGGGAGCAAACAGGAUUAGAUACCCCUGUAGUCCCUGUCUCUUAUAA